rnacentral:tRNA from 1 species
GGCGGAUUAGCUAAGGGGUAAAGCACCUGCCUUCGGGGCAGGGAGUCGCGGGUUCGAAUCCCGUAUCCAUUA